rnacentral:rRNA from 1 species
AACGAACGCUGGCGGCAUGCCUAACACAUGCAAGUCGAACGAGACCUUCGGGUCUAGUGGCGCACGUGUGCGUAACGCGUGGGAACCUGCCCUUAGGUUCGGAAUAACUCCCCGAAAGGGGUGCUAAUACCGGAUAAUGUCUUCGGACCAAAGAUUUAUCGCCUUUGGAUGGGCCCGCGUUGGAUUGGCUAGUUGGUAGGGUAAAAGCCUACCAAGGCGACGAUGCAUAGCUGGUCUGAGAGGAUGAUCAGCCACACUGGGACUGAGACACGGCCCAGACUCCUACGGGAGGCAGCAGUGGGGAAUAUUGGACAAUGGGCGAAAGCCUGAUCCAGCAAUGCCGCGUGAGUGAUGAAGGCCUUAGGGUUGUAAAGCUCUUUUACCCGGGAUGAUAAUGACAGUACCGGGAGAAUAAGCUCCGGCUAACUCCGUG